GUGCUCCCUUCGGCAGCGCAUAGACUACAACAUGAGAUACUGAGAAGAAUAGCGCGGCCCCAUGCGCAAGGAUGACACGCAGAUUCGUGAAGCAAACAAUGUCAAG
ensembl:snRNA U6 U6 spliceosomal RNA